AUUGAACGCCGGCGGCAUGCCUUACACAUGCAAGUCGAACGGCAGCACGGGAGCAAUCCUGGUGGCGAGUGGCGAACGGGUGAGUAAUAUAUCGGAACGUGCCCAGUCGUGGGGGAUAACGUAGCGAAAGCUACGCUAAUACCGCAUACGAUCUAUGGAUGAAAGCGGGGGAUCGCAAGACCUCGCGCGAUUGGAGCGGCCGAUAUCAGAUUAGGUAGUUGGUGAGGUAAAGGCUCACCAAGCCGACGAUCUGUAGCUGGUCUGAGAGGACGACCAGCCACACUGGGACUGAGACACGGCCCAGACUCCUACGGGAGGCAGCAGUGGGGAAUUUUGGACAAUGGGCGCAAGCCUGAUCCAGCAAUGCCGCGUGCAGGAUGAAGGCCUUCGGGUCGUAAACUGCUUUUGUACGGAACGAAACGGCGAGCUCUAAUACAGUUUGCUAAUGACGGUACCGUAAGAAUAAGCACCGGCUAACUACGUGCCAGCCGCCGCCGUAA
rnacentral:rRNA from 1 species